rnacentral:rRNA from 1 species
GACGAACGCUGGCGGCGUGCUUAACACAUGCAAGUCGAACGGAAAGGCCCUGCUUGCAGGGUACUCGAGUGGCGAACGGGUGUGUAACACGUGGGUGAUCUGCCCUGCACUUCGGGAUAAGCCUGGGGAACUGGGUCUAAUACCGGAUAGGAGCCAUUUUUAGUGUGAUGGUUGGAAAGUUUUUUCGGUGUAGGAUGAGCUCGCGGCCUAUCAGCUUGUUGGUGGGGUAAUGGCCUACCAAGGCGGCGACGGGUAGCCGGCCUGAGAGGGUGGACGGCCACAUUUGGACUGAGAUACGGCCCAGACUCCUACGGGAGGCAGCAGGGGGGAAUAUUGCACAAUGGGCGCAAGCCUGAUGCAGCGACGCCGCGUGGGGGAUGACGGCCUUCGGGUUGUAAACUCCUUUCGCUAGGGACGAAGCUUUUUGUGACGGUACCUAGAUAAGAAGCACCGGCUAACUACGUG